rnacentral:rRNA from 1 species
CCUACGGGUGGCAGCAGUGGGGAAUAUUGCACAAUGGCGGAAACCCUGAUGCAGCGACGCCGCGUGAGUGAAGAAGUAUUUCGGUAUGUAAAGCUCUAUCAGCAGGGAAGAAAAUGACGGUACCUGAGGAAGAAGCCGCGGGUAACUACGGGCCACCAGCAGCGGUAAUACGUAGGGGGCAGGCGUUAUCCGGAGGUAGUGGGUGUAAAGGGGGCUUAGACGGGAGCACAAGUCUGGAGGGAAAAGUCGGGGCUUAACCCCGGACGUGCCUUGGAAACUGGGCAGCUAGAGUGAAGGAGAGGUAAGUGGAAUUCGUGGUGUAGCGGUGAAAUGCGUAGAUAUUAGGAGGAACACCAGUGGCGAAGGCGGCUUACUGGACUGUAACUGACGUUGAGGCUCGAAAGCGUGGGGAGCAAACAGGAUUAGAUACCCGGGUAGUC